CAGGUAUGGUGACAUCUAUGUAAUCUUUUGCUAUGAUGGUGACUACAAUAUAUAUUCAAAAUAACAAUAACGGUAAGUCCUGUAAAAUCAUAAUUGUUCAUAAUGGUCAUGAAAGUCUUAACAAAUCUGUUAAAUAACUUUAUUUAUUAAAAGAAUAGCUAUAAAACAUAAUUAUGUAUAAUACUUAUUCAUUUAUAACUUGUUAAAUUGUUAAAUAAUGAAUAACUUAAUGUUAAAAUUAUUUUUUUAUUGUUGAUGUGAUGUAUAUUGUGUAAGAUGAAUAAUGCUAAUAAAAUAAAUCAAAUAAUA